UGUAGUUUAAGCAAAUUAAAUAUUUAACAAAGCGUGAAUGGAUCAAUUAACUGAAUUUCCGCAGUGAGGCAAAUACCGAAAUGCUGUUUGCACUUCAUUUAUAUGUUUUUUGCACAGUUUAAUUAAUUUUUAAUGUUGCGCAAAGACAACAACGAAAAAUCAAACUGAAAUUGUCGAUUUAUGGCUAUUGUUGUAGGGAGUUUUACCCGUGUCCUGGUAAAAGUGGGUGCUCUAGUGGGUGUAUCUAUGAAAUGAAUUUCCAACAAGGCCUAACACGAGUCUGCCAUUAAAAUGAUUGAGCCGCAAACCAAAGAAUCCACAACAAACAUCCGCCCAAAUUGCCAAGUAAACGGAUUAAAUUUCCGAUUUCCGAUAUGAAAAGCAAAAAAUUGAAUUAGAAUUUGCAAAAGCUUUCAGAUGCCCUUCAGACAUUGUAUAAUCUAUUGGGAAAGUCGGACACAUUAUUUUAAAAAUGUCUUAUAGAGAAGGAACAACUUAUCCAUAGUAAUUUACUCUACUUUUUUUAAGUUACGUGUUUUUUAAUAUCCCAAACUGUUCUCACAGUGCCGAAGCUUAACCACAGCGUCUUACGGUGGUGUGCCUUUGGUAAGGGUAUAAUUAUAAGGAAUAAGGACCGAAAGAUUGCGUAAUCAAUUUAAGCGCUUGAAAUAUCAACAAGGACUCGAGAACCGUUGGCAAGUCACGUUGUUUGAUAUCUGCCGACACACGGCGAGGCUCCUUGAUAUGUGCUCUUGUCACAGGGAAAACUUUGCGGCAGGUUCACAGCAAAAAUAUUUGCUUGGAAAAGUUGCAAGCUUGAGGGAAGAGAGGCAAAUGUGUGGAAAUCCACAAAGGCGCCAAGGAUGUAAAAUUUGAAGGAUGAGGAACACUAGGAGAAGUAGGUACUUGACCUCGACUGAACUCACUUCACCAAUCAACGUCACUUCAGAUGAAAAACGACUGUGCCUUGUAUAAAGGUUUCAAUUUUGGAAAAUGGUAGUCCAGGAUGCUCCUCGCAUGACGCACACAUUUGUGACGUAGUCCACAGGACUCGACAGGAUGCAAGGGGAUAGAACCAACUAUUAUACUGCCCCAGUUGGUUGUGACAGGCAGCAACUGUCACAAUAGCUGCCAAUGUUUGGACAUUUGUCGAUGACCAUAAAACAGAAGCUUAAAUAUUGGAUCGUUUUACGAAAGGGGACAUCAUGGGCGGCACUUGAGGUUGAUGAAUAGGGCAGAGAAUAUUUAUUGGCAUAAGCGAUAAGAUUAGUCAAGUCGAGUGAAAUAAUUUUAAAACUAAGAAUAGAGAACAAUUGAGUGAGAUUGAACAUUUUUUUAUUAAUUUUUAUUAAUGAUAACGUUUUAAUUACGUUUGUAUUAACGCAGCCAUAUUCGAGCGCAAUACAAUUUAUUUUUAUUAGCUCUUUGCCUUAAUUGUGAGCCAUAAAUGAUAAUUGGUUCAUUGACGAUGCUAAUUAAAUUACAUGAAUAAUUCGGUUAACUCUGCAUUUGGCAAAAUGGAACAACAGGCAAAUGUAUUUCAUUGAGGUAUACUUGGCAAUUAAAAUAAUGUUUUUGCAAAAGAAAAUUAGAAAUUAAACCAAAAUUCAAAGUGGGAACACCAAAGCAUUUCGAACACCAAAGCAUUUCGAAAAAUUGAUUUUAAAUGGCAAUCUGCAAGCUUAACUCAAAUUAAAUGGAAAGUAAA